UGUGUCUCUUACCUGUUAACAUUGGCCACCAGUUGUUAUAAAGAUCACAUACCUAAAGAAGACAGAGUUGUAGAGAUUUAGGCAACAUCGAAAAAGGAUAAAAAUACUGACACCAAGACGUUAAAUGUCCAACAAGUCUGCAACUAAUAUUGCCAGGGCAGCAAGUCUUUGACUAUGAAAACAUGUCCUCAUACUGCGUGAUAGUGCCAUCGUCUCCUUUGAUGUUCUUCAGAUACAAGUGCUGGAAUGAGUAAAAAGCGGACAAUAAAAAACAUUGCAGGCAUAGUGAGUAAAAAACAGUAUGAUCAUGAACUAAUUACCUGAUAGCCUCAUAUAACCGAAUUACAAUCAUAUGAUUUGUUGCCGAGUGACCAUAAACAACCUGUCAGGAUAUUAAGGAUGCUCUCAACCUGUCUAAAUACACAGAGCCACACGGUGUCACAGUCCAUGUUUUCAGUGUGCGUUGGACUAACGAAUUGCUACCUCUGUCAGAUUCAAACAUGAUUGCAGCCUUGCAGCUGACAAAAUAAUACUCAUGUGCAGCAAAGGGAAAUUUUGUGACCAGCAUCCUAGUCAUCCAUGGAAAUACCCACGGGGUCGAAUUUCAUGACCAACAUCUACUCUGGAUGACCAUACUGUGAUUGACGAGCAGAAUCGCUUAUACACGAAAGUAAAGGUAAAAAUCCAGACCCAUGGGUGUUGUCUCUGGCUGGAAACCGCGGUGGUGAUAGUGGUCAUGGAUGAUGUUGUUGGGCUCGAGAUCUGCCUCCUCAGCCAGUUCCCCCAAUAGCAGCCGCUGGAACUCAUCGUGGUGAUGGUGGUGGUGGUCAUGAUUGUAAUCAUUGACCACAAGCUCUCAGAUGCAGACCAAAAAUAAAUAAAUAAGCAGAGGCGAGCACGACAGCGGCAUCAAGCAAAGAGGAGUACCUAGUGGUGGCAGGAAGAAGCCGAGUCGCCAGGAUCGGGCGGAUCGGGGAUGCCUCGUCAGUGGCGCGGCAGAGAGAAGGGGGCCGGUGACGAAGAUGGGGCGGUGGAGGAAAGGGUGGGAAAAGGGGAGGCAGAAGGACGGGGGCGGCGGCGGCGUCAGGGAGGAUGAGAGGAGGCGACGACGGCAAGAGGGAAGGGAGUCGUGGGAGAGACCCGUGCUAGGUCAUGACCCGUCUGGAUUGAUCGAGACGACUUGACCAACCAAUCCAGUCACGCCUUUUCUUUUCCCCAAUCGCGAACUACUGCGGAAGCAGUACGUCGGGCAACGUGGCAUGCGCGAGUGUCCGCACCUUACGCCACUGUUAAUGGGUUUGAUUGCUAUUCAGAAUGGAACCAAGACAAAUCAUCUCCACACAACUUCCAUUCCACAAAGUGUUGGAUAUUUGUGUGGUUUUCAACAUGGUUAUUAUUUAACACAAAGCACACACUACAACACCAUUCUUUUUACGAAGCAUCCAUAAGCUCCAUGACCUUCUUCACACUCGGCCGAUCCAUCAUGCAAUCAACCCACGCCUUCACAUGCGGAUACGCAUCGAGCACCGACGAGCAGGGGCUGGCCAGCAGGUUGUGAGCCAUGGGGCAAUGGCUGAGGUCGGACAGGCUGAUGAAAUCUCUGGCCAGGUACCGGGAUUUGGACAGACGCUCCUCGUAGACUCCGAGGGCCACCUUCAGCUUCUCCAGGUUCUCCUCGACGACCCUCUGGUUGGUCGUCCCGCCCAUGAACAUGGGCAUGACGAAGCACUGGAAGGUGAUCGCCGACAUGGCCCUGUCGAAGUUGUGGGACUCAGCUUCGAGCCAUGCGUCCACCGCCGCCGACUCGGCGAGGCUGUUUUCUCGGAAUAGAUCGGACACGCCUUUGCGGAGUACGUACCUUGAAAUCGCGCGCGACUCUGGGAUGACAAUAUAUAUAUACGAAAUAUAAAUCAUCUGAAUAAUGUUGUACAGAGCAAUUUGUUCAGUUUGCAGUGAGUCAAUUGUAAGAAACCACCACAUUUGUGGCUAGGUUUGCAGAAAACCACCAACUCAUUAAUCCGUUGCAAAAAACACCGCAAAAUCAUUUAAGUCGUUGCAAAAAGCACUGAUCGGGUGAUUUAGCCCGUUUGAUCACUUUCUGACAAGUGGGGCCUGGCUGUUAAGAGCUGACUUAGCAAAACAUUGACACACACACCCCCUAGAACUUUUAAAAAGUGCAAUCAGCCCCCUCGGUGUGGACAACCUCAGCGCACUGGCCCUGCUGUCUGAUUGGCAUGGCGGCGCCCUCGUCGGCGUCGGAGAUGGGUACGACCGCGAUAGAGGACAAGGAGGCGGCCGGGGUGUGCGCAUUUUCGAGGCGUUGGCCUGCCGGUGCUGAAGCGAUGUGGAGGACGCGUCGGAAGCCGAAGCAGAGGAGCGGCAGCCUCCUCUGAUGUGGUCGGCGAAGAGAGUGGAGGGGAGGAGGCGACGAGCUCCACCUGCUCGACAAGCCAUUCCUGUCACCCUCCUCCAUUGAAGAGGAUGAGCUCGAGCCGGAGCACCUGCUCUGGCGCUGCCAUGGCAGAAGCACUCGCGGCGUCUGCGCCAUCGAGGGAGGGAAGCGGGUGGGCUUCCAGCGGCGGCGACGGGAGCCAGUGGGGGCGGCGCGGUGACGGGAUCCAGCGGCGGCGAUGGGAGCCAGUAGGGGCGGCGCGGCGACGGGAGCCAGUGGGGGCGGCAACGGGAGCCGGUGGGGGCGGCGCGGAGACGGGAUCCGGUGACGGCAACAGGAGCCGGUGGGGGUGGUGCGGCGAUGGGAGCCGGUGGGAGCUGAUUGGAGCAAGGGACGGGGAUUGGGAGGGAGGGUUUGAUUGCUAUUCAUUUUUAGAUACAGGGGUGUGUAUGACAUUUGAUUGCCAAGUCAGCACCUUACAACUCGGUCCUACCUGUCAGAAAGUGAUUAAAUGAGCCAAAUCACCGGAUCAGUGCUUUUUUGCAACGACUUAAGUGAUUUUGUGGUGUUUUUUACAACGAAUUAACGAGUUGGUGGUUUUCUGUAAACCUAGCCACAAAUGUGGUGGUUUCUUGCAAUUGACUCGUUUGCAGUCUAUAGCUACACGAAAUGUUGUUCUUUCUGGGGUUUUCUUGUGUUUGUGUGUCGAUACGAGAUAUAUAGAAAUCUGAAUGAAUAUUUAUUCUCUCACCGAAAAGGAUGAGAUCGCCGUC
rnacentral:lncRNA from 1 species